GGCAGAUCUUCCAGCACCACUCCGUGGAUCCACCGUCCUUAGGGUUGUUGGAGAGUCAUUUACUCCCGAUGACCAUCGAGUAUCGACAUAUAUCACACGAAAAUUUAAGGAAAGAGUCUGCAUAUCUGGGACUACAUGGAGACAUGUAGAUGCUGCAACUAAGGAUUUUUAUUAUAAAAAAUUUGUGAAAAAAAAUAUACGUGGGAGGAUGGGCACGAGGUAGAAUUUGCAGCAACUUGGAAUAUUUAUUGUGCCAAGUUGUACAAAGACCUAUUAUACUAUGUGAGAAAGGAUGACAGACGGCCAGCUUAAGUAUCCGACGAGAUCUGAAGUGCAUGGACGACCACUUGGUCUACAGAAAGAUGACAGACAAAGACUCUAAAAGCAAGAGUGAAUAGGAAUACAGAGCCAGGUGAGCCGAGUACUGGAUCUGCUCAGCAUACAUCAGGAUCUCGAUCCAUUGUUGAGCACACUAUGGAUCUGGAGCGUUCUUUAGAAAGACAAUCUACUUGCCUGGAGAUCUUUCUCAAAACUCACCAGAGAAAGGAUGACACAUAUGUUGAUGCUCGAUCAAAUAACAUUGGGGAGGAAAUGACAAACAGGGUUGCUCAAGCAUCUCAACCACCAGUAGAGGGGGGGGGGGGGAGUCACAGGAUCUAUCCACCCAGGAAAUAAACGAAAUUUAUUAUGAUGUUGUGGGUGGAAGGACAAAGAACUCCUUCCUUUACGGCCUUGGCUCCCAUGCCAAGGUGGUAUUUGAUCGCUUGAGGACUCCUAGGGGUCGUGCGAGUUCCUCUUCUUCUUCUUAUGAGGUGGAGUCAUUAAGAAAAGAAAACCAAGAAUUGAAGACUCAGAUGACUACCAUGGAUCAUAGGUGGGAGAAGAAGUGGACUGCUCAGGAGCAGACAUUGGCCCAAAUGCAAGCAAUCAUUGCUAGAUGGGACUCAUCACAGCAGCCCCAGUCAGAGGAGACCCGAGACCCAUCAGACUUCGCCGAUGUUUAGAUUUUUUUGAGAUAUGUUUAACUAUAACUUGAUUUUUUUAAGAAAUUUCUUAUAAAUUAGUUAAGUCAAAUAUAUUUAUUCUAUUGCGAUAUUAUAAGAUGUUUAUCUUAAGUGUUUUAUAUUUUUUAGGAGUUCAUAUUGAUACAU